AUUGAACGCUGGCGGCAUGCCUUACACAUGCAAGUCGAACGGCAGCAUGAUCUAGCUUGCUAGAUUGAUGGCGAGUGGCGAACGGGUGAGUAAUACAUCGGAACGUGCCCUGUAGUGGGGGAUAACUAGUCGAAAGAUUAGCUAAUACCGCAUACGACCUGAGGGGGAAAGUGGGGGACCGCAAGGCCUCAUGCUAUAGGAGCGGCCGAUGUCUGAUUAGCUAGUUGGUGAGGUAAAGGCCCACCAAGGCGACGAUCAGUAGCUGGUCUGAGAGGACGAUCAGCCACACUGGGACUGAGACACGGCCCAGACUCCUACGGGAGGCAGCAGUGGGGAAUUUUGGACAAUGGGGGCAACCCUGAUCCAGCAAUGCCGCGUGUGUGAAGAAGGCCUUCGGGUUGUAAGCGCUUUUGUCCGGAAAGAAAUCGCACUUACUAAUAUUAGGUGUGGAUGACGGUACCGGAAGAAUAAGGACCGGCUAACUACGUGCCAGCCGCCGCAGUAAAAC
rnacentral:rRNA from 1 species